rnacentral:rRNA from 1 species
GACGAACGCUGGCGGCGUGCUUAACACAUGCAAGUCGAACGGAAAGGCCCUGCUUUUGUGGGGUGCUCGAGUGGCGAACGGGUGAGUAACACGUGAGUAACCUGCCCUUGACUUUGGGAUAACUUCAGGAAACUGGGGCUAAUACCGGAUAGGAGCUCCUGCUGCAUGGUGGGGGUUGGAAAGUUUCGGCGGUUGGGGAUGGACUCGCGGCUUAUCAGCUUGUUGGUGGGGUAGUGGCUUACCAAGGCUUUGACGGGUAGCCGGCCUGAGAGGGUGACCGGCGACAAUGGGACUGAGAUACGCAGCAGACGCCUACGGGAGGCAACAGUGGGGAGUAUUGCACAAUGAGCGGAAGCCUGAUGCAGCAGCGCCGCGUGCGUGAUAACGGCCUUCGGGUUAUAAACCGCUUUCGCCUGUGACGAAGCGUGAGUGACGGUAAUGAAUAAAAAAGCACCGGCUAACUACGUG